GCAGCGACGUCUCAUACUGCAGUCGCACGCACAGCGUGGGUGCUUGCACCUUUCAGUGAGUGGCGAACGGGUGAGUAACACGUGGACAACCUGCCUCAAGGCUGGGGAUAACAUUUGGAAACAGAUGCUAAUACCGAAUGAAACUUAGUGUCGCAUGACACGAAGUUAAAAGGCGCUUUGGCGUCACCUAGAGAUGGAUCCGCGGUGCAUUAGUUAGUUGGUGGGGGGCAGCCCUACCAAGACAAUGAUGCAUAGCUGAGUUGAGAGACUGAUCGGCCACAUUGCCGACUGAAACCAUCAAAAAAACUUUAUGGGGGAGGGUGCAGUUCCGAAAUCUGCCAAAAUCGGCGAAAGCCUGAUGGAGCAGCGCCGCGUGUGUUUUGGAGCGCUUUCGGCUCGUAUAGCACUGUUGAAUGCUAAGAACAGCUAGAAUAGUUGAAUGAUUUUAGUUUGACGGAACCAUACCAGAAAGGAACGGCUAACUACGCGCGAGCAGCCGCGGUAACCACGUAUGUCCCGAGCGUUAUUCGGGAUUUAUUGAGCGUAAAGCGAGCGCUUACGUUUGAUUAAGUCUGAUGUGAAAGCUGGAGCUCGGCUCCGGAAUGGCAUUGAAAACUGGUUAACUUGAGUGCAGUAGAGGUCAGUGGAACUCCGUGUGUAGCGAUGUAAUGCGAAGAUAUAUGGGAGGAACACCAGUGUCGAGGCGGCUUACUGGAUUGUAACUUGAAGUUGAGGCUCGCAGUGUGAUUGCUACCCGGAGUAGAUACCCUGGUAGUCCACACCGUAAACGAUGAAGACUAUUGUGUCUAUGCAGGUGUGCCCGACCUCUAACGCUAGAAGCUCACCGCCAUUGAGGUGUUCCCGCCCCCGGGGGAGUACCACUCGCAAAGAUUUGAUAGUGCAAGCGCGAACUAGACGGGGACCCGGACGAGGGCUGAUGUAGCAUGGAGCCUAAAUCCGAAGCCACGCGCGUUAGGACUCUUACCUAGGUCUUGACAUUCAGUUGAGAAGGCUUCUCUCAGAUAAAAGUGUACCUCUCGGGGACGAGGUGACUGGGCGUCGCACUGGGCCGAUCGUCAGUCUAGGUUCCGGACAUGUGUGCCAUCAGACUCGUAACGAGGGCUAA
rnacentral:rRNA from 1 species